UUUUUUUUUUUUUUUUUUUUAGACAAUUCAAAAUUGGAAUUCGUUUUCAAGAGCAUCAGGAAACCCUUCCCUCGUCUUCUGACCAACAUUUUCCCUAGCUUUCUUGAUGUCGCAUUAUAUUUUGAUUGGUUUGACCUCUUUAUUUGGUAAAUGUAGUCUAACGGUGCCAUAUUCAUGCAGAUGAGGCUGACUACUCCACAA
rnacentral:misc_RNA from 1 species